ACUGCGGAGGAUCAUUACCGUGACACGAUCACCACCCUCGGUUACGCACGCGUUGCUUUGGCGCCCGCCAAUCUCAYCCAACACUAUUCUUUGUCGUCGGAGCACUAUAACAUUAAAACUUUCAACAACGGAUCUCUUGGUUCUGGCAUCGAUGAAGAACGCAGCGAAAUGCGAUAAGUAAUGUGAAUUGCAGUAGUGAAUCAUCGAAUCUUUGAACGCACAUUGCGCCCUUGGGUAUUCCGAAGGGCAUGCCUGUUCGAGCGUCAUAUCGCCAUCAAGGGGCGGAGCCUGGGAACGGGCUCCGGCCGACUUGGUCUUGAGCCGUGUCAGCGAUGGCAGGCUCUAAAAUCAGUGGCGGCGCCGCCGGGUCCCGAACGCAGUAACCUCUCGUUACGGGCCCCCACGCCUCCCGCCCAUCAACUCCACGGAUGACCUCGAAUCAGGUAGGGGUACCCGCUGAACUUAAGCAUAUCAAUAAGCGGAGGACCUGUGUGAAAUUG
rnacentral:rRNA from 1 species